UGGAAAGAGGAUGUCAUACGAAAUGAAUUUAGCGUGGACGAAGCUGAAGCAAUCCUUAACAUUCAGCUUUUCAAAGGUAAUCGGGAAGAUAAACUUAUCUAGCAUCCAAGUUGUGAUGGAAGAUACUCUGUCAAGAGUGCUUAUAGAAAAAUCUGAAGGUCCUUCUUACCGCCAAGAGUGCGUCUCUUUGCCUGGCGGCUAUGCAAUGGAAUCCUUCCUACAGCUGCCAAAGUUGCAGGACGUUGAACAACCCCUGUAUUUUUAGAAUUUUAAAAUUUUAAUUUUUA
rnacentral:lncRNA from 1 species